UGGGGAAUUUUGGACAAUGGGCGCAAGCCUGAUCCAGCCAUGCCGCGUGAGUGAAGAAGGCCUUAGGGUUGUAAAGCUCUUUUGGCAGGGACGAUAAUGACGGUACCUGCAGAAUAAGCCCCGGCAAACUUCGUGCCAGCAGCCGCGGUAAUACGAAGGGGGCUAGCGUUGUUCGGAUUUACUGGGCGUAAAGCGCACGUAGGCGGAUUGUUAAGUCAGGGGUGAAAUCCCGGAGCUCAACUCCGGAACUGCCUUUGAUACUGGCAAUCUUGAGGCUGGAAGAGGUUGGUAGAAUUCCCAGUGUAGAGGUGAAAUUCGUAGAUAUUGGGAAGAAUACCAGUGGCGAAGGCGGCCAACUGGUCUAGAUCUGACGCUGAGGUGCGAAAGCGUGGGGAGCAAACA
rnacentral:rRNA from 1 species